GCUUGGCUGAAAACCCUGUGUCUAAGGGAGAGAAAGGAUUCUGCUGUGGUGGGCUGAGGGCAGGGGCAUUUCAGACAUAGGAGGGAGAAGCAGGACAGAGAUGUUAGCCAUUUAUGAAACAGUCUUCACACACUACUGCCUUCAAACUGUCUUGUCUGCUCCUUCCCUUGUCAAUAUCUCAGAUGGAUGGGUUAGCUUUCCUGUUAACUUCUGUAAUUGACUCAUUUUCAGGUAUUAAAAUGUCCUGCCCACUUUCUAUCAAAUCCAGUCUUGCAGGCUAUUCCAGUCUUCCUCCCUCCUCUUGUCUCAGCCUGACCUGAGCUGGAAUCCUGGAGGAGGGGAGGUUGGGGAAUUGGGACUGUCUAGCAUGUUUCUCCCUCCUUGCCCUCUUAUCUGCUGCUGUGGGUGUUCUAUCCCCUGUGUGUGAGCCCUGAGGUGAGAGGACAGAUGUCAUCCUGGAUGGGCCGUUACAAGGCAUCAAUUGUAUCAGGGAGUGGCACCUUCUGUUGGCUUUCACGGGGCAUCAUGGUUUUCUCAGGAAGGAUCUCUGUGUGACACUAUUUCUGGGUGUGGGUUGCCUGUUCUCUGGCUGACCUCAUGGGACCUUCCUCUUGCUCUCCUUUCUUGCAGGAAACCCUACAACUAACAGACAAGAUGCCUUCAAGACAUCUUGAGCCUAGCUACCUCCCGUGGCCUGUAUUUGGUCCACAGGAAACUCAUGCAGUCUUGCUACAGCAAAUUGAGGUGGUAUAGGGUGCCUGCUGCUGCCUCUCUCCUCACCUUUCCACAGAGGGCUGCCCCAGCGUGACCCCCACUUCCAGUUUCUCCAGCCAGGAGAAUCCUGAAAUCUCUGCAAAUAAGCAGUCCAGGAGCCAGAGAAUUGUGGGAUCUCAUAUAAACAAAUCAUCCAGGAAAAACACAGCCAGUCUCCUUUUGGUAAACCUCCAUGACUGGGGAUCCCCUGCCACCUGGAAAGCAGUUCUGCCUGCCAUGCAUGUCAUCACUGAUUUUUACUGCUGCAGCAGACUCUGUCAUACCUGCCCGCUUCUUCAGUGAAUUGUUCAGUGUGCACCACCAGCUACCUGCUGUAAGCAUUCGCACUUCUCUACCUGCCUGGCAGCCUUUCUCAGCUGAACACAGGCCAGGCCAGAAGUGCCAGGGAGUUAAUGUCCUUGGAAGCAGCUCUCUACCAAUGACAAAUGGAGCUGGUGGAUAAAUUCUCAGCUUCCUCCCCUCUCAGGUGGGACAGCCCUGAGAUGUGCUCUAUGCAAUCUCCCACAAGUCCCCAGCAGGCUCAAGCUCCCAUUGUCCCACCCUGGUAACCUGCUCAUCGACACCCCUGUCUUGCCUUCCCUUCCUGGCCUCACUUCCUCACUCUCUUACUGUUGCCUCCUGAGAUCGCAUCCAAAGUAAAUGACCUGCACCCAAA